rnacentral:rRNA from 1 species
GAUGAACGCUGGCGGCGUGCCUAAUACAUGCAAGUCGAGCGAACAGACGAGGAGCUUGCUCCUCUGACGUUAGCGGCGGACGGGUGAGUAGCACGUGGAUAACCUACCUAUAAGACUGGGAUAACUUCGGGAAACCGGAGCUAAUACCGGAUAAUAUAUUGAACCGCAUGGUUCAAUAGUGAAAGACGGUUUUGCUGUCACUUAUAGAUGGAUCCGCGCCGCAUUAGCUAGUUGGUAAGGUAACGGCUUACCAAGGCAACGAUGCGUAGCCGACCUGAGAGGGUGAUCGGCCACACUGGAACUGAGACACGGUCCAGACUCCUACGGGAGGCAGCAGUAGGGAAUCUUCCGCAAUGGGCGAAAGCCUGACGGAGCAACGCCGCGUGAGUGAUGAAGGUCUUCGGAUCGUAAAACUCUGUUAUUAGGGAAGAACAAAUGUGUAAGUAACUAUGCACGUCUUGACGGUACCUAAUCAGAAAGCCACGGCUAACUACGU